AUGAACGCUAGCGACAGGCUAACACAUGCAAGUCGAGGGGUAACAGGGUAGCAAUACCGCUGACGACCGGCGCACGGGUGAGUAACGCGUAUGCAACCUGCCUAUAACUGGGGAAUAGCUCCCUGAAAGGGGAAUUAACACCGCAUAACACUAUUGAUUCGCAUGGAUUGGUAGUUAAAUGUAGCGAUACAGGUUAUAGAUGGGCAUGCGUGACAUUAGCUAGUUGGUGAGGUAACGGCUCACCAAGGCUACGAUGUCUAGGGGUUCUGAGAGGAAGGUCCCCCCACACUGGUACUGAGACACGGACCAGACUCCUACGGGAGGCAGCAGUGAGGAAUAUUGGUCAAUGGGCGCAAGCCUGAACCAGCCAUGUCGCGUGCAGGAAGAACCUGCCCUAUGGGUUGUAAACUGCUUUUAUAGUAGAAGAAACACAUCUACGUGUAGAUGUCUGCCAGUAUACUAUGAAUAAGCAUCGGCUAACUCCGUGCCAGCCGCCGC
rnacentral:rRNA from 1 species